ACGGGGCUAAGAUAGACACCGAAGUUGUAGAUUGCACUUUGUGCAGUGGUAGAAGAGCGUUCGUAUCAGCGUUGAAGGUAUACCGGUAAGGAGUGCUGGAGCGAUGCGAAGUGAGCAUGCAGGAAUGAGUAGCGAUAAAAGUGGUGAGAAUCCACUUCGCCGAAAGUCUAAGGUUUCCUACGCGAUGCUCGUCAUCGUAGGGUUAGUCGGGUCCUAAGACAAGUCAGAAAUGGGUAGUCGAUGGAAAAUAGGUUAAUAUUCCUAUACCAAUAUAAGUGUGCGAUGGAAGGACGCAUAGGGUUAGGUGAGCCAACGGAUGGAAGUGUUGGUCGAAGAGCGUAGAUUGGGGGAUAGGCAAAUCCGCCCCUGUAUUCGAAACUUGACAGGCUCUUUGAAGUCUUCGGAUGGAAGAGAGAAUCACUGAUACCGUCGUGCCAAGAAAAGUUUCUAAGUUUAGCUUAUAUUGCCCGUACCGCAAACCGACACAGGUAGAUGAGAUGAGUAUUCUAAGGCGCGUGAAAGAACUCUGGUUAAGGAACUCUGCAAACUAGCACCGUAAGUUCGCGAUAAGGUGUGCCUAAGCAAUUAGGUCUCAGCAAAGAGUCCCUCCCGACUGUUUACCAAAAACACAGCACUUUGCAAACUCGUAAGAGGAAGUAUAAGGUGUGACGCCUGCCCGGUGCUCGAAGGUUAAGAGGAUUCGUUAGCAGCAAUGCGAAGCGUUGAAUUGAAGCCCGAGUAAACGGCGGCCGUAACUAUAACGGUCCUAAGGUAGCGAAAUUCCUUGUCGGUUAAAUACCGACCUGCAUGAAUGGCGUAACGAGAUGGGAGCUGUCUCAACCAGGGAUUCAGUGAAAUUGUAGUGGAGGUGAAAAUUCCUCCUACCCGCGGCAAGACGGAAAGACCCCGUGGACCUUUACUACAGCUUGGCACUGCCGAUGGGAGCAUUAUGCGCAGGAUAGGUGGGAGGCUUUGAAGUCUUCACUCUGGUGGAGAUGGAGCCAUCCUUGAGAUACCACCCUUAAUGUUUCUGUCUGCUAACUGGCUAGAGUUAUCCUCUAGCAGGACAAUGCCUGGUGGGUAGUUUGACUGGGGCGGUCGCCUCCUAAAAAGUAACGGAGGCUUGCAAAGGUUGGCUCAUUGCGGUUGGAAAUCGCAAGUAGAGUGUAAUGGCAUAAGCCAGCCUGACUGUAAGACAAACAAGUCGAGCAGAGACGAAAGUCGGUCAUAGUGAUCCGGUGAUUCUGUGUGGAAGGGUCAUCGCUCAAAGGAUAAAAGGUACCCCGGGGAUAACAGGCUGAUCUCCCCCAAGAGCUCACAUCGACGGGGAGGUUUGGCACCUCGAUGUCGGCUCAUCGCAUCCUGGGGCUGUAUUCGGUCCCAAGGGUUUGGCUGUUCGCCAAUUAAAGCGGUACGCGAGCUGGGUUCAGAACGUCGUGAGACAGUUCGGUCCCUAUCUGCCGUGGGCGUAGGAAAGUUGAGGAGAGCUGUCCCUAGUACGAGAGGACCGGGAUGGACACGCCACUGGUGUAGCAGUUGUUCUGCCAAGAGCAUCGCUGCGUAGCUACGCGUGGAUGUGAUAACCGCUGAAAGCAUCUAAGCGGGAAGCCAACUCCAAGAUUAACUUUCCCUGAAGGUCGCAGCAAGACUAGCUGCUUGAUAGGGUAGAUGUGUAAGCAUAGUAAUAUGUUUAGCUGACUACUACUAAUAGACCGUUUGGCUUAUGU
rnacentral:rRNA from 1 species